CAGCUCUCUGCUUUCUGUGCAGCCCCUUGUGGGAGCUGAGUUCCAGUGACGCCCCAAGCCCUCGUUCUAUCUCUUACAGACAGGAGAACAAGCCAGGAUUGAUACGGCGCCUUUCCGGCAGCUUGGCAGGGGAGAGGCCCUGACUGAGAUCAGCACUCCAGCGUGCUAGGUGCAGUAUGUACACACAGUGAAAGACCCUGCUCUGAAGAGUUUCCAAAGAAAGACCUGGAGAAGGAAUGGAGAAGGGACUGUCCCAGGGAGCUUGGCAUGGCACCCACAGGGCCUGCAUUCCAGGCUACUGCUGAAUGGCAGUUCAUUUUCUCUUGGUCUGAAAAGCUUUAGUGACUCAGCUUGGUCUGAAGUUUUGGUGAUGUAAUCGAAGCUUGGGAACUGGAGCCUGUGUCUUAUCCGUCCUGUGAGUGAGUAACCCUUGGGCGUAAUCCACACGUUCGCUG
rnacentral:lncRNA from 1 species